UCACUGAUCAGGACUCUUCAGUUCAAUUUGUCAAAAUGAGGCUCCCUCUUCAGCUCCUGGGGCUGCUGCUGCUCUGGAUCACUGGAUCCACAGGAGAUGUUGUGAUGACCCAGACCCCACUCACUCUGUCUGUCUCCCCUGGAGAGACGGCCUCCAUCUCCUGCACGUCCAGUCAGAGCCUCGUACAUAGUGAUGGAAAAACCUACUUGAAUUGGCUUGUGCACAAGCCAGGCCAGGCUCCACGGGGCAUGAUUUAUCAGGUUUCCAAAAAGUACUCUUGGGUCCCAGACAGGUUCAGUGGCAGUGGGUCAGGGACAGAGUUCACACUCACAAUCAGCAGGGUGGAGGCUGAGGACGC